AUUGAACGCUGGCGGAAUGCUUUACACAUGCAAGUCGAACGGUAGAGGGGGCAACCCCUCGAGAGUGGCGAACGGGUGAGUAAUAUAUCGGAACGUGCCCAGUCGUGGGGGAUAACGUAGCGAAAGUUACGCUAAUACCGCAUACGAUCUACGGAUGAAAGCGGGGGAUCGCAAGACCUCGCGCGAUUGGAGCGGCCGAUAUCAGAUUAGGUAGUUGGUGGGGUAAAGGCUCACCAAGCCAACGAUCUGUAGCUGGUCUGAGAGGACGACCAGCCACACUGGAACUGAGACACGGUCCAGACUCCUACGGGAGGCAGCAGUGGGGGAAUUUUGGGACAAUGGACGCAAGUCUGAUCCAGCCAUUCCGCGUGCAGGAUGAAGGCCCUCGGGUUGUAAACUGCUUUUGUACGGAACGAAAAGGUCUCUCUUAAUACGGGGGGCUCAUGACGGUACCGUAAGAAUAAGCACCGGCUAACUACGUG
rnacentral:rRNA from 1 species